AAAAAAAAAAAAAAAUCACACACCCAAUUCACCCACCAAACCAAAAACAGAGUCUCUGUAAAAGAGAGAAUUGUUACUUUACCUUCUAAAAGCGACAGGGACGAUCCCAGCUCUGUACUGUGCAAUCUGCAAGAAAGCAGGCUCGGCCAAGUCAAAGUGCUGGAGAGGAGGAUUGCACCACCCGCCAUUGUCGUUAGACAGAGCAAAGUUUGGCGGACAGAAGUUGGUAGCAGUGACAGUGAUGGUCCCGGGAAGACACCAUCUUGGGUCAUCGUUGCAUCGCAUUUCGUAGCAAGAACCACAGCUCAAGCCAUUGUUGAAAAGGGC
rnacentral:lncRNA from 1 species